CUGUCGUCAGCUCGUGUCGUGAGAUGUUGGUAAGUCCCGCAACGAGCGCAACCCCUGUCCCAUGUUGCCAGCAUUCAGUUGGGGACUCAUGGGAGACUGCCGGCGUCAAGCCGGAGGAAGGUGGGAUGACGUCAAGUCAUCAUGCCCCUUAUGUCCUGGGCUGCACACGUGCUACAAUGGCCGGCACAAUGGGCUGCGAUGCCGCGAGGCGGAGCGAAUCCCAUAAAACCGGUCCCAGUUCGGAUCGAAGGCUGCAACUCGCCUUCGUGAAGUCGGAGUUGCUAGUAAUCGCGGAUCAGCAUGCCGCGGUGAAUACGUUCCCGGGCCUU
rnacentral:rRNA from 1 species